rnacentral:rRNA from 1 species
AACGUAGGUGGCAAGCGUUAUCCGGAUUUACUGGGCGUAAAGCAUGUGCAGACGGGUUGGUAAGUGGUGUAUGAAAGCGUCCGGCUUAACCGGGCAAGCGUAGGCCAGACUGCCAGUCUUGAGAGUGGGAGAGGAUAGUGGAAUUCCCAGUGUAGAAGUGAAAUUCGUAGAUAUUGGGAAGAACACCGGUGGCGAAGGCGGCUAUCUGGCCCGUAAUUGACGCUGAGGCGCGAAAGCGUGGGGAGCAAACAGGG